AGGUUAUGGGGCUUGCCCAAGUUCUCCCAAGUCAGGAGCUGCAGAGAGUGACCCGAGGUCCUGUGAGAGUACACCGAGGUUUCCUGCGUACAUACUUCUUGGAUGAAGCCUUUCUGGGACAGAUUUUCCCGUUCAACGUUGUAAAAGCCGCCACUUGCCUAGUCUCUCAACCGCGUUAUUUAAACAUCGGGGUGUGAUUUCAGAGGCUUGAAGCUUGUUUCCCUCUUUCAUCAGAGUGGGACCGGCAGGCCACGUACACUCAGGGCCAGAACUAGGGUGAGGUGACUGAGACUUUGCUCCAAGGCAUCGAAAUUGAGAAAGCGUUCCUGCUCCUUUCUUGAUACAGAAGCAAUUGAGCUUCGUACAAAGCU
rnacentral:lncRNA from 1 species